UACGUAGGGGGCUAGCGUUGUCCGGAAUCAUUGGGCGUAAAGCGCGUGUAGGCGGUCCGGUAAGUCCGCUGUGAAAGUCGGGGGCUCAACCCUCGGAUGCCGGUGGAUACUGUCGGGCUUGAGUGAGACAGAGGAGAGUGGGAUUUCGUGUGUAGGGGUGAAAUCCGUAGAUCUACGAAGGAACGCCAAAAGCGAAGGCAGCUCUCUGGGUCCCUACCGACGCUGGGGUGCGAAAGCAUGGGGAGCGAACAGG
rnacentral:rRNA from 1 species